GCCGUUAUCAUUUGAUUCCGCUUCAAAGACGAACCUUCUAAACAUCUCCGGUAAACAACUUCCAUAAGUAACGUUCCUGAAUGCAGUCCAGCUAUGUUAUAUAGCAAUAAGUGCCUUGUGGCAGGUUAUUAAUAUUUUUGAAGGUAAAGUUUAUGUCUAAGAAGACAGGUCAAGUUAAAUGGUUCAACGAAAGCAAAGGCUUUGGUUUUAUUGAACAGAAUGACGGUGGCAAAGAUGUAUUCGUACAUUUCUCUGCAAUCGCAACUGACGGAUUCAAAACCCUGGCUGAAGGCCAGCGUGUAGAAUAUACCGUUGAAGACAGCCCGCGCGGGCCGGCUGCUGCAAACGUUGUUGCUCUGUAAUUCAGAGAUUAAUAAUGUUUAGAAUAUUCCAGAAUCUGAAAUGGUAAAGCAAAUGCGCUAACCGUUUACU
rnacentral:sRNA from 1 species